CCCAAUGAUGGGCUAGGCGGGAGAUCGCAAGAUCGCCGUUCGCUAGAUUCGGUAAGACCAAUUCUGCUUAGCUCAUCACCAAU
rnacentral:antisense_RNA from 1 species